AGUCUUAUAUUCAACAAUGAUUUUAAAUUGCAAAUUUAAAGGUAAAUUUUAUUUUAAGGCUU
rnacentral:tRNA from 1 species